rnacentral:rRNA from 1 species
UGGGGAAUAUUGCACAAUGGGCGCAAGCCUGAUGCAGCCAUGCCGCGUGUAUGAAGAAGGCCUUCGGGUUGUAAAGUACUUUCAGCGGGGAGGAAGGGAGUAAAGUUAAUACCUUUGCUCAUUGACGUUACCCGCAGAAGAAGCACCGGCUAACUCCGUGCCAGCAGCCGCGGUAAUACGGAGGGUGCAAGCGUUAAUCGGAAUUACUGGGCGUAAAGCGCACGCAGGCGGUUUGUUAAGUCAGAUGUGAAAUCCCCGGGCUCAACCUGGGAACUGCAGCUGAUACUGGCAAGCUUGAGUCUCGUAGAGGGGGGUAGAAUUCCAGGUGUAGCGGUGAAAUGCGUAGAGAUCUGGAGGAAUACCGGUGGCGAAGGCGGCCCCCUGGACGAAGACUGACGCUCAGGUGCGAAAGCGUGGGGAGCAAACA